CGGGAUCCUAGUAAGCGCAAGUCAUCAGCUUGCGUUGAUUACGUCCCUGCCCUUUGUACACACCGCCCGAGGAUCCUAGUAAGCGCAACUCAUCAGCUGGCGUUGAUUACGUCCCUGCCCUUUGUACACACCGCCCGUCGCUACUACCGAUUGAAUGGCUCAGUGAGGCUUUCGGACUGAUCUAAGGGAGGAGGCAACUCUUCCCCCUGGUCGGAAAGUUAUCCAAACUCGGUCAUUUAGAGGAAGUAAAAGUCGUAACAAGGUCUCCGUUGGUGAACCAGCGGAGGGAUCAUUACUGAGUUUACGCUCUACAACCCUUAGUGAACAUACCUAUAACUGUUGCUUCGGCGGGUAGGGUCUCCGCGACCCUCCCGGCCUCCCGCCCCCGGGCGGGUCGGCGCCCGCCGGAGGAUGACCAAACUCUGAUUUAACGACGUUUCUUCUGAGUGGUACAAGCAAAUAAUCAAAACUUUUAACAACGGAUCUCUUGGUUCUGGCAUCGAUGAAGAACGCAGCGAAAUGCGAUAAGUAAUGUGAAUUGCAGAAUUCAGUGAAUCAUCGAAUGUUUGAACGCACAUUGCGCCCGCCAGCAUCUGGCGGGCAUGCCUGUUCGAGCGUCAAUCAACCCUCAAGCUCUGCUUGGUGUUGGGGCCCUACAGCCGAUGUAGGCCCUCAAAGGUAGUGGCGGACCCUCCCGGAGCCUCCUUUGCGUAGUAACUUUACGUCUCGCACUGGGAUCCGGAGGGACUCUUGCCGUAAAACCCCCCAAUUUUCCAAAGGUUGACCUCGGAUCAGGUAGGAAUACCCGCUGAACUUAAGCAUAUCAUUU
rnacentral:rRNA from 1 species